GCCAGCAUGGUGCAGUGGUUUGAGUGCUAGACCAGAACUCUGGGACACUAGGUUUGAAUCCUUGUUCUGCCA